UACAUGGGGUGCAAACGUUGCUCGGGAUUAUUGGGCGUAAAGCGCGCGUAGGCGGUUACUCAAGUCGGAUGUGAAAGCCCUCGGCUUAACUGAGGAAGUGCACCCGAAACUGAGUAGCUAGAGUACUAAAGAGGGUCGCGGAAUUCCCGGUGUAGAGGUGAAAUUCGUAGAUAUCGGGAGGAACACCGGUGGCGAAGGCGGCGACCUGGGUAGAUACUGACGCUGAGGCGCGAAAGCGUGGGGAGCAAACAGG
rnacentral:rRNA from 1 species